AUUGAACGCUGGCGGCAGGCCUAACACAUGCAAGUCGAACGCGUGGCGGACGGGUGAGUAAUGUCUGGGAAACUGCCUGCUGGAUGGGGAUAACUACUGGAAACGGUAGCUAAUACCGCAUACCAUCGGAUGUGCCCAGAUGGGUUUAGCUAGUAGGUGGGGUACAGGCUCACCUAGGCGACGAUCCCUAGCGGGUGUGAGCGGAUGAACAGCCACACUGGAACUGAGACACGGUCCAGACUACUACGGGAGGCAGCAGUGGGGAAUAUUGUACAAUGGGCGCGAGCCUGAUGCAGACAGGCCGAGUGUAGGACGAAGGGCUUGGGGUUGUGAAGUACUUCCGGCGGGGAGGCGUUACCCGCAGAAGAAGCACCGGCUAACUCCGUGCCAGCAGCCGCGGUAAUAC
rnacentral:rRNA from 1 species